CCUUUGACCUGGUCUUAUACAGAAAGACAGUGAGAUAAGAUACUUGCUAAAGCAAAAGAUCAACCACAAAUUUGUCUCAGUCCAUGAGGGCUAACAGAACUGACAGCAGACUCCUGAUUUAACAACUGAGGACCAAGUGAGCACGUGCUUAAAACCUACUGCCUGGAACUUCUGAGGAGGAUGAAUAGCUCACAUCCUUCAGAGGUGUUCACCUUCAGCUUCUGAGAGAAUGAAACUCCUGGAGAAUGAGAGGCACUCUGCUGUUACUCAAAGUGGACCCAUCAGAUAUA
rnacentral:lncRNA from 1 species